rfam:Clostridium ventriculi strain 2789STDY5834858 genome assembly, contig: SCcontig000006
AAAAGUCUUCAGGGCAGGGUGAAAUUCCCUACCGGCGGUAAAGCCCGCGAGCCUAAUUAAGGCAGAUUUGGUGAGAUUCCAAAGCCGACAGUAAAGUCUGGAUGAAAGAAGAAAAUG